rnacentral:rRNA from 1 species
CCCCAUUCCGAACUCAGAAGUGAAACGUUUUAGCGCCGAUGGUAGUGUGGGGUUUCCCCAUGUGAGAGUAGGUCAUCGCCAAGC